UCAUGUGGUGUAUUUGCUCAUAUCUUAGUAGGAAUUAUUUAUUCCACAUAUAAAAAUUUAUGUUUUUAAAUUAAGUUCUGACAGAGAUAAAGGUCUAAAUUUCAUCCAGGUAAGAUUAAAGAUUAACCCUUAUCACAGCUGACCCUUUCAGUAUGGCUCUUAAAGGGAUACUCCACCCCAAAAUGAUUUUUUUUUUUUUUUGUUAUUAAUCACUUUACCCCCAUGUCGUUCCAAACCCGUAAAAGCUCUGUUCGUCUUCGGAACACAAUUUAAGAUAUUUUGGAUGAAAACCUGGAGGCUUGAGACUGUCCCAUUCAUAUAACCAAGAUUGCACAUCUGAUGGCAGAUGGAGUAUUCUGACAACGACUUUCAUACCUUUUAUGGACCUUGACACUGUUAUUUACUUGGCAGUCUAUGGGACAGACUCAAGCCUCCAGGUUUUCAUCCAAAAUAUCUUAAAUUGUGUUUCGAAGAUGAGCUUUUAUGGGUUUGGAACGACAUGGGGGUAAGUGAUUAAUGACAAAAUUUUCAUUUUGGGGUGGAGUAUCCCUUUAACCUCAGGUUGCUGCAGAUGGGGGUGUCCCUUACAUUUUUGUAGGUUUACUCACCUUGAUUUUUUUUUUUCAGACAAAAUAACCAAAAGGAAGCAGAACCUUAGAGGAGUUUAGUUGCCCUUGUCAGGACAGACCAUAUUUGGGCACAUUCCGGGGAUGACAUCAAGAAGCGCAGGCAUGAAUGAACUUGCCCGCAGGAUGAAUGACCUCUGUGCACAUGCAGAAUGAUGGAUCAGGUAUGCAGGUUAGAUGAGGAAACGUAUUUCCACAGCCUUUCCGGUCGAGUCAUGUCACAUAUAGCAACAUCUGAACCAAACAAUGCUUCUGUCUGCAGGCCAAUCCCCAACAGAGGGCGGAGAACAGACUGUUUGCUGAGGGCACUGGAGAUUCAAUGAGGCCUGAAACUUGAAGGAUGGAAAGAAUUUGCAGUGAGACGUCGCCCCUAGAGAGCCUCUGUGUGUGUUGAGAGAAUAAAACAAUCAAACUAUCAACA
ensembl:lncRNA